rnacentral:rRNA from 1 species
GACGAACGCUGGCGGCGUGCUUAACACAUGCAAGUCGAACGGAAAGGCCCUGCUCUUGUGGGGUGCUCGAGUGGCGAAAGGGUGAGUAACACGUGAGUAACCUGCCCUUGACUUUGGGAUAAAAUCAGGAAACAGGGGAUAAUACAGGGUAGGAGCUCCUGUUGCAUGGGGGGGGUAGGAAAGUUUGGGCGGUUGGGGAUGGAAUCGCGGCUUAUCAGCUUGUUGGUGGGGUAGUGGCUUACCAAGGCUUCGACGGGUAGCCGGCCUGAGAGGGUGACCGGCCACAUUGGGACUGAGAUGCGGCCCAGACGCCUACGGGAGGCAGCAGUGGGGAAUAUUGCACAAUGGGCGGAAGCCUGAUGCAGCAACGCCGCGUGCGGGAUGACGGCCUUCGGGUUGUAAACCUCUUUCGCCUGUGACGAAGCGUGAGUGACGGUAAUGGGUAAAGAAGCACCGGCUAACUACGU